rnacentral:lncRNA from 1 species
UUUGAAUUUGCACGCCUUCGUGUUUUUGCGUUGUGGUGGGGUCAAAAGUCUUGCGUUGUUCUCGAGUCGUGCUGUUGCGUUGCGGUGGGGGUCAAGCCUCGAAGUCUGAACCCGCAAUUAUGGACGUCGCCACCUCGCUCUUCCCCGUUUGCAGCCCGUUUUCAGAGCUCAGACUUUGAAGAUAACUUUGAAGAUACGAGACGGAAAGGGAGAACGCCUUUUCUCCUUUUUAUUUUCCUUUCCUGGAAUCCUGAAUCGACGACGAACACGACGGGAACCCCGAACGCGACACGGACAACGCGUCCGUCCGUCCGUCCGUCCCUCCUCGUCGCCGUCGGUUUGGCGUCGCCGGUUGGCGGUGUGAACCAAGACCGAGGCAGGCGGCUAGGCGCUGGCCACGUGGAGUGCGGGGCCCGCGUCCACGCACACGCGCACGCCGUUGCCGUUGCCGUGGCUGCUACCCGCCCGCCGCCUCGCGUUCUCCUCGUCGGGUCCGGACGCGUACGGCACACGCUGCGACUGACUGACCUGCUGGCUCUGGCUGGCUGCAGGAAGCAGAAGCCCAAGCCCACACGCCCUCACACUGUCUCUUGUCUCUUCGACUCUUCCAUGUUUUUGCUAUGCUCCCGUUGGCUCCGAACCUGAUAUAAAAUUGUGAAAGACAUAUAGAUUACGAAUAUUAUUAUGAGAGAAAUAAACAAACAAGUGCGAAGAGAAGAAACAAACCGAGUCCUACUGUGCAGAAACAAACAGAGAGGGAUACAACGCCAGCUCAGCAGCUUCGUCCCAGUGUAUCAAACUUUUGCGAUUUCGUUCUUCAGAGCCUGGACAGUGCUUAGUGCCACCCACUUUGCUGUUCUGCGAUCAACACCUCAAGGAGUAUAUUAGGCAACUCCAUUAGUUUAGGAUUGAUUGCAAUCCCAGGAUAAUCUUCCUUUAUCUCUAGGAGAGGCUACUUACCCUCCAAGCUAUGUACUCCUAUAUAAUCGUUCAAAAGGCUCAAGCAACAUAUCCCACGCAUUAUACACAAUUUUACAUGGUAUCACGAGUCUAGGUUACAAAACCUAGGCCUCCAGCUUUCGCUGCCCUCGCGCCGCCCCCGGGGAGAUCAAUCUCCGCCGGGAGCAGCACCCUCGUAGGAUGCGCGGCCGAUCCCUCUGAUUCGCCGUGCCGAUCAUGGUCAAGCAGCAAGUAGAUCGCCCCUCCACUCCUCCUGGCCAUGGCGGCCCCCGGCUACGGCGGGCGUCCCUCCAGGCCGCGCCCCAACGACGGCCCCUGGCGACGGCGGCGGGCGGCCCUCUACUCCUCCAGGCCGUGGCGGCCCCCGGUAGCGGCGGGCGGUCCUCUACUCCUCCAGGCCUCAGCGGCACCCGGCGGUAGCGGGCGCCCCUCUAGUCGCAUCCUAGCGCCACCCCCGACCGCCCCCUCCCCCAACGCUCCGUCGGCACCCUCGACCGGCGCAUCCCGCGGCCCCGACCUCUCCCGACCGCUCCGUCGGCACCUCCGACCGACACAUCCGACUGCACCGACCAGCAUGGAUCGGAGACGCCAGAUCCGACCUGUUCUCCGCCAGUCAGACGGUUCUCCGUGGACCUCUUCCUGCUGCUGCUUUUCUUUUUUCCCGAUCAAGAUCAGGUGCGUCGCCUACUGUCCCGUCGUCGACACUCCCGAAGAUGAGGUUGUCGUUGCGCCCUUCAGGCUGCUACGGCAACGCUCGUGAUCAAGCCAUCCUCGUCGGCAACGCCGCCUUUUUAGACGGUGGCGCCACCCAUGCUGGUAGUCCUCAUCACGCUGACUCUCGGUCCGAGUCCGCACCUAUUGCCACACGCUCACGGACACCGCCGCCGACGUUGCUGAAGGAAGAUGCAAUUGCGCUCUUUAGCUGCACCAUCUACCAUCGCGCUCGGCUCAUCGUCCUGCUGACACUGUCGACAAGAAGCUGCUGCUUUUGUGUAUUUGGGCGCCUUCACUGAUGCUUCGGACCCGUGCCCUUCUCCACGGCUUCGACCACGUCCACCUCGAUCUCGGCUACUUCAGCACUAAGGGGCUACCAUCUGCUUGAGAAGCCUCUUCAGCUCCUAUUCCAGCCACAACAUUUGUGGCGCAUUAACGGUUGCGAUUGCGAGGGGAUGUCAUCUCUUCGGCUUAUUCUCUAGUCUCAUCGUCUGCGUGCUCCCGUUGUGACUGCGAGGGGAUGUUAGAGUAUAUUAGACAACUCCAGAUAUGGUUAGUUUAGGAUUGAUUGUAAUGCUGGGAUAACCUUUCUUAUCUCUAGAGAGGCUACUUGCCCUCCAAACCAUGUACUCCUAUAUAAUCAGCCCAAGAGGCAACAUAUCCCCCGCAUUAUAUGCAAUCUCUAUUGCUUACACAGACACCCGUGAUGGCAGGCUAUCAUAUAACCACCACUAAAAACCAAUAUGAAAUGCGCAACUGCGCCCACUAAGCAAGUAGUAAGCACCAUCAACAUAAUCACUCGACUAAUAACUAGAAUAUGACUACACACCAAAAAGAAGGAAACAGAGAGAUUUUUAGCAUCACUACCUGAAUAAAUCUGAUUGAUAUGCCAUCUUCACAGGAUCAGACAUUCAGGCUAUCCACACCACUCUUCAAAUCACAAUCAUCUUUAUCUUUCCCAAUCCACCAGAAAUCACACGCUGUCCAGUACGCUCUUCGAUCGACUCUUGAAUUCCCGGUCAGCAAGAAGAGCCAAGGUCCAUCACGCACCUGUGGAAGAACCGGGGCCAUGGAAGGCAGCUGCGAGCGUACGCGUCACUGCAUCAGCAGCAAGGAUUAAGCACAAAGCAAACGCCUCGGGCCAAGGCAAAGUCGACGAAUUGAAUCAGACGACCAAGAAUAGGGGCGCCAGGUCACCCUCACCCACCACCUACUAUUACCCUGCGCCUUUUUCUUAUUUUCUUGCCUCCACCUGGGCCUUUCAUUUUCCAAGCAAUGUCCACACCUUGACCGCGACGCCGAUGAUUGCUCUAAAGUAUUGUACGUGCCUCCUGGAAAUGAUGCUCUCCGUGUACUGAAUCUUGCAGAUCUUCAGUUUCUUUCGAAAAAUUCGCUCCUUUUCCUGUUCACCAAAAAGGGUGCAUCAUCCUACAAAAUAAAUAGUGCAUCACAGAGUGAUCCUUUGUCAGUACUAAUACUAUGGUUAAGACAACAGGUUCGUUAAGUGAAGCUGGUAGGACAAGUGAUGGCAGAUCAUGUGAUCAGGUAAAAUAAGGCAGGCUGUGCGUUAUGUGUGAACAUGGUAGGACAAGUGACGUCACUAUAUCAGAUCAGGCAAAUCACGGCAGUGAUUCAACAAGGAUUGAUUCAAGGAUGACUAGAAAAAGCAAAUAUUUCGUAGGGUCAGUUGGACUUCUUUUAUGGAUUACAGCAGGUAGCCACCAGUGAAGCAAUACAAGUGUGAACAACAAACUGCUGCUUUGUCUAUUCUAUACUGCAUUAAAAACGUACAAUGAUACUGAGGAUUCUCCUAUAGUAGCAUAUGAUCCUUGACUUCAUUUUUUCUUUGUAGUGACCACGACUAGAAGGGAUCAGCAAGAUGGAGGCAGGAGCCACCUCCUUCUUCUACCUUAUGCUCUUCCCUGAUUAGACUCAGAACAUUGGUAUCUCAUCUAGACAGGAAACAAGUUAAGCGUCUGGUUUCCAUGCUACUUUCAACAGGAAGCCAUGCAGCCACUCCAAUUUCCAUACAAGAACUACAGCAGUAGGUUACCCAUACCUUCCCUUGGCUUUGCUGCUCUGCUGCUGAUCUCUUUGGCCACCCUCACCAGCUCUUGCACAGAGCAGGAGAAGAACUCCCUCCUCCAGUUCGUCUCUGGGCUCUCACAGGAUGCUGGCCUUGCAAAGUUAUGGCAGGAAGACAC